rnacentral:rRNA from 1 species
GACGAACGCUGGCGGCGUGCUUAACACAUGCAAGUCGAACGGAAAGGCCCCUUUGGGGGUACUCGAGUGGCGAACGGGUGAGUAACACGUGAGUAACCUGCCCUUGACUUCGGGAUAACUUCAGGAAACUGGGGCUAAUACCGGAUAGGAAUCCUUGCUGCAUGGUGGGGGUUGGAAAGCUUCGGCGGUUUUGGAUGGACUCGCGGCUUAUCAGCUUGUUGGUGGGGUAGUGGCUUACCAAGGCUUUGACGGGUAGCCGGCCUGAGAGGGCGACCGGCCACAUUGGGACUGAGAUACGGCCCAGACUCCUACGGGAGGCAGCAGUGGGGAAUAUUGCACAAUGGGCGGAAGCCUGAUGCAGCAACGCCGCGUGCGUGAUGACGGCCUUCGGGUUGUAAACCGCUUUCAGCAGGGGCGAAGCUUUUGUGACGGUACCUGCAGAAGAAGCACCGGCUAACUACGUG